GUGAUUGACGGGGUGUCGGACUUGUUUGGACAUGCCCUUAACGUCCCCCCGCAAAAUCCACAAACCAGGAAACAUGUGCGCACAUUUGAAGACAGCUUCCACCUCAUGAGGAGACAUUAAACUGAUGGAUGAUGUCUUAUGUUCACUGCAGAGACAGACAUGUGCAACAAGUGCAGUACACAGCUUUGCUCCUGUCUGCUUCUCCAAACUGGAAACACGCUAACCGCCCUCUGCUGGAGGUAAUACACUACUAAUGGUUCAAAGAGUCACUUCUUUAUUCGACAUGAAGAUCUUAAGGCUGCAGCUGCUUCUGUUGGCGCCUCUUUGUGCCACGGAUAGCACAAAGUCAACACGAGGCUGCUCCAGUGACCUUGUUAAACUAAAACUGUAAGGAGAAGACCGGUGGAACUCAAGCACAUCGCUCCAAAGUUCCAGUCUCCUCGAUAUCCUUGGAAAUGUUUUGGCAAAGUUGCAGAAGGAAACAGAUGCCAGAUGUGUGCGCUGUCUGUUGAGUCUCUUGAACUAAGCCCUUUUCUUUUCUUUUGUUUUAGUGUUUCCUGAAAAAAAAAAAAAACAGCCUUGUAAAUUUCCAUAUAAAUCAGGUCACAAUAAUUAUUGUACGAAAAGAAUUUAAAUAUAGUUGAUUAAUAGAGUUUCUUUCUGAAUAGGAAACAAGAAAAACGAUGUGACCAUUGUCUACCCUAUUACUUCUCUUCAUCUUACAUAUCAUAUCUGAGAAGAUUACCCAGUAUUUCACAAAUUUAUCUGUAGCACAGCACUAAGAGUGGGUUGAUCUUUUAUACUGCAGCACAGCAAAAGAAUACACCAAGAUCACAAGGAGUAAGAAUCGACCAAUCAGAUGGAGUCAGUUUCAGUUUACAUCUUUUGCCUCUCUUCACAGGGUAGGCCUCCAUCCUUAUACGCUUGGAUGAUUUACAUCUACUUCAUCCACUGGGGCCCCUUCAGACUGAAUAAGCCUUGAAUGAUAACAGUCUUGUGGGCAAUGGGGAGAAACAAAAGAAAAAAAAAAA